rnacentral:rRNA from 1 species
GACGAACGCUGGCGGCGUGCUUAACACAUGCAAGUCGAACGGAAAGGCCUUUUCGGAGGUACUCGAGUGGCGAACGGGUGAGUAACACGUGGGUGAUCUGCCCUGCACUCUGGGAUAAGCCUGGGAAACUGGGUCUAAUACCGGAUAGGACCGCACUUUAGUGUGUGUGGUGGAAAGUUUUUUCGGUGUAGGAUGAGCCCGCAGCCUAUCAGCUUGUUGGUGGGGUAAUGGCCUACCAAGGCGGCGACGGGUAGCCGGACUGAGAGGUUGGUCGGCCACAUUGGGACUGAGAUACGGCCCAGACUCCUGCGGGAGGCAGCAGUGGGGAAUAUUGCACAAUGGGCGCAAGCCUGAUGCAGCGACGCCGCGUGGGGGAUGACGGCCUUCGGGUUGUAAACUCCUUUCGCCAGGGACGAAGCGUUUUGUGACGGUACCUGGAGAAGAAGCACCGGCUAACUACG